GGAUUGAUAGCUCAGUUGGAUAGAGCAUCCGCCUUCUAAGCGGACGGUCGCAGGUUCGAGCCCUGCUCAAUCCG
rnacentral:tRNA from 1 species